rnacentral:rRNA from 1 species
AUACGGAGGGUGCAAACGUUGUUCGGAAUUACUGGGCGUAAAGCGCGCGUAGGCGGUUUGUUAAGUCAGAUGUGAAAGACCACAGCUCAACUGUGGAAGUGCAUUUGAAACUGGCAGACUUGAGUACUGGAGGGGGUGGUGGAAUUCCCGGUGUAGAGGUGAAAUUCGUAGAUAUCGGGAGGAAUACCGGUGGCGAAGGCGACCCCCUGGCCAGAUACUGACGCUGAGGUGCGAAAGCGUGGGGAGCAAACAGGAUUAGAAACCCUAGUAGUCC